rnacentral:tRNA from 1 species
GGUCCCAUAGUUCAACGGAUAGAACAUCGCACUCCUAAGGCGAGGAUGCAGGUUCAAUUCUUGCUGGGACCA